UACGGGGGGGGUAAGCGUUGUUCGGAAUUACUGGGCGUAAAGGGCUCGUAGGCGGCCAACUAAGUCAUACGUGAAAUCCCUCAGCUUAACUGGGGAACUGCGUGUGAUACUGGAUGGCUUGGAUUUGGGAGAGGGAUGCGGAAUUCCAGGUGUAGCGGUGAAAUGCGUAGAUAUCUGGAGGAACACCGGUGGCGAAGGCGGCAUCCUGGACCAAUAUUGACGCUGAGGCGCGAAAGCUAGGGUAGCAAACGGG
rnacentral:rRNA from 1 species